GCACGACUUCCCCCGGCCCGCGGCCUGUGAGCCCAGGUCCUGGGGUGAACCGAGCGCUCGCUCGUUCGUCAGACCGUAGCGCUCCAGCGGCUGUCCUUACUGUGUAGUAGCCAAAGCUGAGGGUGAUGACUGUGAACCAGAACAGACUGCCUCGCUGAAAAGUCACUUGGAACUCUUCUGUGGCAUCUGAAGCAGAUGGACGAAGCCAAGAGGGCCGAGAGUAUCUCAGCACCUAGAAAUGGACAAGGCUGGUUAUUAGAACAAAGAUUUCGCAGGUGGUGAGUCUCAAAGGCGAAGCUGAAUGAUUUGAUAUUUCAUGAAAUUCAGAAAUAAUUUGGAGCUUUUCAAACCUGGGAUAUGGAAGAAACUGACACUCCUGUUCUCUGGGAAGAGGCAAGAAUCUGCAUCAAAGAGCCCUGGAAGCAAUCAUGGCUCAACUGUGAUGCCUUUAGAACAUGAAGUCCUCCAAGAAGAUGCCAUAGGAAUGGCCUCCAUCCCAGGGCCUGGAGAGCAGCCAGAGACAAGAAGAGUAGCCCAGGAGGGCACUGGCAGUCAGUGCUACACUGUGGCCUGUCAGUCUCAGAGCCAGGAUUUAAUCACUGGAUCUCCCAUUAACCAGUCAUAAUGAAGUAAGAACAAGAAGAUGGGGAAGAGGAAGUGUAAAACCGUGGCUUAAAUUUGCCAAGGAUAAGCUGAGUGUACUUCAGCAGUCAUUUGCACAGAAUCCUUAUCCUAAUUUUACAACCAGGGAAAAACUGGCUGGACAGUCUCUUGUCCUGUGUUUGUAAUUGAUAACUGGUUUCAAAAUAAAAGCCAGACCACCACUUAGAGAGAGACACAGAAUGUUCACUGCCAGGGAACUGCAUGAUUCCUCUGCCAAAGGCCACCCAUUUACAAGAAUCCAGGAAAACCAGGUGGAAUCUCCCAAUGAUGACCCUGAGCAGAACUUCUUGUACCCAGGAAGUUCUACUGGGUGGAGCUGGCCACUCUUCCGUGGAGACACAGGGGACUCCCAAUUAACAUGAUGGCUCAAAUAACUGUAGCCUUAUGGAUUAAAAGGAAACUAAGCUGUGAUUUGGAGUAUCCAGGUGAUACAGAAAAUGGCCCUUGUCGAUGUAGAUCAGCAUUAUUUCCUUAUCCUUCUGCAUCUCCUCCUCAGUAUUCUGAAAGGGACAAGCCUGAGAUGGGGGAAAGCCAGCAUGCAAGGCCCUCCCCUUUGUGCUGUGUUCAUGGUGUGCACGGAGAGAGGCAGCAGCAGGAGGAACAGAAAGGUUAUUUUCUUUACUGACUCUUUCAAGGACAUCAGCAGAAUGGUUGGGAAUGUCAUCAUGAGCAGCCUCAGCCUCAGAAUUACCAGGAGAAGCUGGUCUUCCAGGAUCAGGUUCUAAUGUAUAUGAGUCACAGGAUUUAGGGAAGCAGGCACUUUCCCUUCAGUCCCAGCAGCAUGGUUGAUGUUCCCAAGUAAUGGAGAGUCCCUGUGCUCUCAGUUGUGGCACACACCUUUGCAAAUAGUGAUCAGAUCUCCACAAACGCCUCUUGGGUAAGAUAUGCAGCAACAUAGCUGGCUGCAGAGCAACCCAGUUCCCAAAUCCAGCAGCUCUUGGAUGAGAAGUCUGCAAGUGUUUACUGCUGGGACCAGGACUGUGUUUCUAGGAAAUGGUGCUAGGCUUCAGAGAGCAUCAUCCACAGGUCAUCCCACAACCAUCCACACAGAAGCCUGAGGAAAAGGGCUCUGCAGAGCUUGCACAUAAAGAUGCUGAACUCAGGAAGGCUCUGUGAGCUGCUGGUCUCUUCUGGUAGGGCAGCAGUGUCCUGAGAAGGUGGAGCUAGAGUAUGGAGAACAAAACUAACAAGCACCAAGGCAGCAAGCAAGGCAACCCCCAAAUGACAGCAGUUGCCAAAUCCAAAGCAAUCUGUGCUUCAGAAGACAGAGGCUCUGCACAGUCCCUGUCUCAGACAUUGUCUCCUCCUUAGAAGAUACCUAACAACAGCACUGUGGGAGGCUGAGGUGGGUGGAUCACCAGGUCAGGAGAUCAAGACCAUCCUUGAUCUUUAGUAGAGACGGUGAAACACUGUCUCUACUAAAAAAUACAAAAAAAAAUUAGCUAGCCGUGGCGGCGGGCACCUGUAGUCUCAACUAUUUGGGAGGCUGAGGCAGGAGAAUGGCCUGAACCCGGGAGGCAGAGCUUGCAGUGAGCUGAGAUUGCGCCACUGCACUCCAGCCUGGGCAACAGAGUGAGACUCCAUCUCAAAAAAAAAAAAAAAAAAAAAAAAAAAAGAUACCUAACAAGCAGUACAAGAAUAUGAAGGACCCCACUGCCCAGACUUUGUAUGGAGGGGUGUCUAAGGUGGCUACAGCAAAGCUGUCAUCUCCAUCGACCGGGACAGCAUCUCCAGCCAUGAUGUGUGGCCUGCUGGAACAGCAGCCAUGUGUCCUUUCACAGACAGCCCACCAAAGCUCUGACUGUGAAGGACAUCCCAACAUCAGCCUAGCCUGCAUACACUUAAGGCAUAGAAUCACCUGAGGCUUCUCCGUUGAAGACAGGGACUCCCGAUGGAGUUGCAGCCCCAGCUUUGCACUGUAAAGAGCCCCAGGGGGCUUCUGUGCUAGAGCAGGUGUGCAGACCCCUCCUCACCCCCUUCACUGAGAGCUGCUGCCUGGAACCAGUGUUUUGACUGAGUCACCUCUGGACGUGGGCCCACAAGAUCUGAGAGUGCCCAGACGAGAAGUUGAAUGCCUUGUGUUGACCUGAGUGUUUGGAAAAAAGCCCCAAACUUUGAAACAAUUUUCAUAAUUUUGAGCUUCAGGAUGUGGAAUCACUUCUCAAGUAUUCUGGAGUUCUGUCCAUCAGAGCGGGUCCUGCCAAUGCUGCCCUGUGCAGCGCUUCAGGCUGCAUCCCUCCCACUAGGGGGCGCCUUUCACAUAGUGGCGCCUGCCUUCUAGAGGAGCAACAUUUCCUGAACUGCAGGGUUCCCUCGGGGCUUUGUGUAAAACACAUCCACUGCAUAGAAUUUGUGUUAUUUCCAUUUUGUUUUCUUGACAAUAUUUAAUUAAUUACAAAAUGAUGUAUGUUAUGAUAGUUUAAGCAAUACAGAGAGUAACCAAACAAAA
rnacentral:lncRNA from 1 species